rnacentral:rRNA from 1 species
AAACGAAAGUUUGACUAAGUUAUACUAGAUAUAUCAGGGUUGGUAAAUUUCGUGCCAGCCACCGCGGUCAUACGAUUAACCCAAACUAAUAAAUAUACGGCGUAAAGCGUGUUUAAUCUAUACUUAAACUAAAGUUAAAUCCCGACUAAGCUGUAAAAAGCUCCAGUCUGACUUAAAAUAAUCUACGAAAGUGACUUUAAUAUCUUUGAAGACACGACAGCUAAGGUCCAAACUGGGAUUAGAUACCCCACUAUGCUUAGCCAUAAACAUAAAUAAAUAUAAACAAAUUUAUUCGCCAGAGUACUACAAGCAACAGCUUAAAACUCAAAGGACUUGGCGGUGCUUCACACCCCUCUAGAGGAGCCUGUUCUAUAACCGAUAAACCCCGAUCAACCUUACCACCUCUUGCUAAUUCAGUCUAUAUACCGCCAUCUUCAGCAAACCCUAAUAAAGGUUUUAAAGUAAGCACAAGUAUAAACAUAAAAACGUUAGGUCAAGGUGUAACCUAUGAGGUGGAAAGCAAUGGGCUACAUUCUCUAUCUUAGAGUAUUACGAAUAUUCUUAUGAAAAUAAGAAUUAAAGGAGGAUUUAGUAGUAAAUCAAGAAUAGAGAGCUUGA